rnacentral:lncRNA from 1 species
UGGCUCCUAAGAGCUGGACCUGCUCACCCUGCCCUCUCCUCCUAGGGGCCAGGAGACCACCUCUUAGUGAGUGAAAGGGAUGCAGUGGUCCUGGGAGAUGGCGGCAAGGACCCCGGCAGAGAAGGCUGCCGGGGGGCCGGCCACCACUGUGUGGGGUUAGUUCCAGGCAGCAGCGUCCCGGUGGCUUUCAUCCUUCACCUUUGUACAUCCUGGCUGUGUUUGACAUCUUUACGG